rnacentral:snRNA from 1 species
AUACUUACCUGGACGGGGUCGACGGCUGAUCAAGAAGAGUCGUGGCCUAGGCUAGUGGUCCACAUUGCACUUGGUGGAUGCGUUGGCUUACCAUCUCCCCAAGAGGGAGAGUGGACGUCAUAAUUUAUGGUAGAGGGGGUACGCGUUCGCGCGGCCCCUG